rnacentral:tRNA from 1 species
UAUGCUUUAGUAUAGGAUGUACAAAAGUUUUUGAUACUUUAGGGAGUAGUUUAAAUCUAUUAAGUGUAA